CUCCCGCGCAGCUCCCGGCUCCUCCGGUUCUCCGCCUCCCCUGCACUCCUGCUCCCUGCCCCCUACCCACGCUCCGGCUCCCGUGCUUCUUUCCCCAGGCUCCUCCCCUGCGCUCCUCCCUACUCCCCUCUAACGUUUCCCUCCUCUCCUGCCCUGGUGCCCCUUCUUGCUCUCCCUUCGCCCUUACUCCCCCUUCCUCCCCGAUUCUGUUCCCUUCCUUUCCUCCUUACCACCUCCUCCAGAUCCCCUCCUCUCCACCACCCCUCUCUCCAGCUCGCCUCUCGUCUUCCCACUCAGCUCCUCCCGCGCGCCCCUUCUCCCUUCUCCCACCACCUCUCCUGCUUGGCUCCCUCUUUCCUCCAGUGUUCCUCCUCCGGACCCCUCCUCCUUCCUCUCCCUUGCCCCUCUCUCCAGCUCCCCUCCCCUCUUUCCUCCCCUGCUCCUCUUCCCGGUCUGCGGAGCUCCCACGCGGUUGCUAUGGAGGCGCCAGAGGCUGCCUGCGGCCGGGCGGGAGCUGCCCUGGGGCCCCGGGGACGGAGCUGUGACUCUGCCCUGGGCUCUGGCGCCUCGCCCCCUCGGGGCCCCGGAACAAAGAGCGCCCUCCCCCAUCUCGGGAGUGCACUGAGACCUCCAGGCGCCCCAGGCCCGGAGGCUUAAGACCACCGCGGAUCUUCUCUCCCCCAACCUCUGUUGACUGGACCCCUGGGGUCGGAGUGACAGCUGUGCGCCACCGAGCUACCUUCCUGGUCCCCCGAAGAUCACUCCCGCUCUCCCCAUCCCCACCCCCGUGCUGGAGGUGUCAGUGAGGCUGGGGGACGGCCAGAUGGCCCCAUUUAACAGGACUGUCCCCUUUUGUUGGGGGCCGAAGCAGCGUCAGGCCAAUUUACAUAGGAAAAUGGGGUUUGUGUCCCCAAUUCAGUGCAGUGCCCCGACAGCUGGUGGCUCUGUCAUCAUGUCAGGACCCCACAGCUUGAUGUUUAAAGUGGCUUUAUGUGUGCAGAUGUGUGAGUGUGAAUAGCAAUUGAUUGGGAACCGGUAGCUAUUAGUCUGCCUUGGAGAAACUCAGCGUUCGUAGAGAAAUUUUAUCAGCCUGGUCACCGCAUAAGAUCAUGGAAUGGAAAAGUCUUCCGAAGACUUCUGAUGCUCUCUUAUAGAACUAAGGCUUAUUUUAUCCAGAAAUCUAAGAAGCCAAACAAUUGGGAUCUGAGGAGGAUUUUUAAAUCGUUAUCAUUUACGCUUUCCUGCUUGUAAAAGUUGUAAGGCUGAACAUGAAAAGCGUAAGAAAAACUGCCAGGACUUAAAAAAAUUGAUGAAAAGAUCUCAUCUAAUUCAUUUGAUUAAACUACUUUAACUCUGCCAGCUUGUGUCCAGGGCCGUAGCCUGCAACAGGCUGAACAUUACCAUUCGUUUGUAAUCAGUAGUUUAAACCUGUGCACUUAAGUGAUAGAAUGUUAGGGACUUUAAUUCUUAUUUACUAGGGAGGAAUUUGAAUCUCAGAGAGGUUAAGUGAUUUGCCCAAAGUCAUACAAUUCUGGAAUAUGAUCUGUUGUUAGAAUCCAGAAAAGAUAAUGGAAAGGGAAGAUUUAAGACAGGAGAUUAGAAGCCCCUGAAAAUACCUUAAUCAGGAAGCUCUCAAACCUUUCCACCAGUCCGCUGGAGCCACCAACAGGUAACUCCCCAGAAGACAAGGGAUUGAAAAUUUUUUCCCCUCUGCCUUUAUACAUUCAGCUUUAGCUCAAGACUGUACCAGAGCCAAUUCUAGCCACUAGAAUCUUCCAGAACAACUGUUGACUUUGUUUCUGCCAGUGUAACCAUUUUGUGAUAAGAUGAAAAUUGCAUGGUUAAAAUGGAAUGAAAUGGGAAAUCAAAGCUGACCUGGAACCCUCUGGUUAUGUUUUCAGGUGAGUGGACAAGAUGACUACAAUGGAACCUGCAUUCACCUUGCUAGAAGGCAUGCCCAUGGGACUUUCUUUAGCUGAAGAAAUGCAUUUAGAGGUGAUUUGUGUCACAUCAAACAGCUGCCUGACCACAGAAACCAUAGAGGCAUGUCAAGAUGCUCCAUCAGCUUGGUUUCCUAGGUGACUCAGAUGAGCAGAGACCCGGUGACAACCUGCACUGAACACACAGGAGGCACGAGGAACAAACUUGCUAUGCUACGUCACCGUUGGUUUUGUUUGUUACUGCUGCAUGACCUGGUCUCUCCCGAUUGGCAGACAUCAGUAUUUCUACACAGGGGAGCAGCGGAGGCAGGUAUGGUGUCCUGAAGUGACAGCAGGAAUAAUAAAACGCAGCAGUGUGGGCUUUCCUGGUGACACCUGCAGUUAUGACCCUGGCUUAAGAAUCGAUUAAUUCUUCUCCAUCUGCUUGGAUCAAUACCUUAGGCAACUCUGGGCACUAUGGUUCUCUGAAGGGCAGAGCCACGUUCCUGUUGAAAUGUUGUGUAAAAACCUGGGACAAUGUCAACAUGGAAAAUAGUGCUUAUUCUCUGUAUAGUUAAUGGAAAAUUGUUAUAUUUGUUAAUAAUGCCACAUCUCUUUGACAUUAAUAUUAACAUAAGACCUUUCCAAUAAAUUAACACAAUUUCUCACCCCAAAGUGGAUAAGUCCUGAAUCUUGCUCAAGGUCACCAAUUAGCAGCAGAGAUGGAACUCAAACUCAGGACUUCAUGCUCCUUGACUAUGCCCAGCCCCCUUCUCUUGGGGAGCAUUGUAAAAUAAUUAAAGGGUGACAUUUUCUACAAUACUUUUAAGCUUCAACACUGUUAUUUUGCUUCUAUAGAAAGGAUUACAGAAAAAAUGUUUCUGUGUUGAUGUAAAGUAUGAUGGCAUGUUGCUAAUGCCAUGAAUGUUGCAUUUUCCUUAGAAUAAAAAAUAUACAAAGAAAA